CAGGGAAUAUCAUUUUAUUUAGGCCUUUAAAAACAUUUGCCUUAUCUUGCCAGUAAUUAAAAAAAAUUAAUACAAAUGAGAAUUUUAGUGGCAUUAUAAUUACUUCAAGAUGGGCUGUGCCACUUGGCUUCUCUCCUGGCUCUGCUGCAGCUCUGUCCAGGCCUCCUGUGGGAGCUUCUGUUCCCCAACCCUGCACAGUCUUAGUCUCUUGGAUUCUUUGGGUCGGUUCUCUUCCAGCUUCUCCAAGAUUGCUUCUUCUCCAUGCUUUGCUCCUGUUGCUCUCACAGGGACUUUUUUAAAAUAAAGGGGACUGCUUCAUGAGAUUUGGGUGUGGCUGUCUUUUCUAAUCCCUCCCCCUUCCCCACAGUGGUUGGCCCACGAUGAAGGUAUUGCCAAUCAGAGUACCCCGCCCUCUGGGCACAGAGAUUGGUCAAGGGAUAAGCAUAGGACUGACCCUUGUUGGCCGAUCAAAGUCACCCCUGGGAAGCUCCAGAAAGAGAAGCUCCUUUUUCACUGGGCUCACUGGCUCCAAGGACAAAAGUGAGCCCAGCUGCCACAGGUGGCUGUGUUUAUGACUAUCUGGGUAAGCCUACCUAGGAAUAAAGCCAAUGUGGAGGAAGACAGAAGAGAGAUGGAGAAAAGAAGCAGAGACUUAACUUGUGAUUUGAACUACUGCAUCCAAUUGUUCCUGAAGCUAGCCCUUCUUCUGCACUUGCUGACUAGAAAGCAGAUUCCAGAAAGCAAAACCCCUCUCAUAUUUUUUCUUUUCUUUUUUUUUUUUUUAGGUUUAAACCAGUUUUAAUUGGAUUUCCCUCACUUGCAACAAGGAAGACCUGAAUAAUAUUGCUUCUGUCUGCAUGUCCAAAUACUUUCAUUUUUCAAGAAGCAAUGUUAUACCAAGGUCAGAACAAAGGAACACUUUAUGCUGAUCCUUGCAGUUUCCAUUAUUAGAGACCCAAAGGAAUCAGACCAGGAGAUCGUUUUGCUUUAAACUAGUAGAAUCUGACCUAAGGCAAAUAUCAGUUGAGAAAAAGGAGAAAACACAUUUUUUCCUUCAACAGCAUCAUCUCCAUUCUUGGCAGAGAGAGAUGUGAAUGACCAACAGCCAUGCCAUUGCAUAGUUUCAUCUUUCAUGUAACUUUUUCAUAUUUGAAGCCAAACAUUUGGAGCCAAAGCCUGAUAACCCAGCGAGUCAAGUGCUCAUGUCACUAUUGCUAUGUCAAGGUCAUGAACAUUCAGGAAAGAACAAAGAACACUUCCAAAUUGAAGAAUAGACAAGAUAACUAAAUAGAAUGAGUGAUCUUAGACUGAAUGUUUUUGUUAUAAAAGACAUUAUUGGGACAGCUGGUGACACUUGAAUUGGAUCUGAGGAUUACAUGGUAGAAACACAUCAGCGUUAACUUCCUGAUUCUGAUGGUUGUAUUGUGGCUAUGUGGGAGAAUGUCCUUAUUUGUAGGAAUUACACACGAAAAUAUUCAAGAGUGAUAAAGCAUUGUGUCAGCAACACCCUCUAAUAGCUCUUUGUUCUCUUCUUGUAACUUUUUUCGUAAGUUUGACAUUCUAUCAAAAGAAAAGAAAACAAAAGCAGGGCUAUUUGCUGCACAGUAUCUCCUUUCAUUUAGGAAAAACACUUUUCUAAGACCCUCCUAAGGCGGAAGCCCCAGUGGCUGGUAAUGGAGGCGCAUGGCCUUUCUCCAGCUGCAGACAAGGUUGGCAAAGCCAAUUUACAUAAAGGGGAGUGGGCUCUUCUCUCAGUCCAGUCCUUUCUCUCCAUCCUCCCUUUGUCUCCAUCCCCAAAGUCAUAUCUCACUUUGAACAUUUUCUGCUCAGACUGACAAGUCUCCCUGACAGGAACUCACCCUCUCCACCCACUGCUUCCUUGCCACUAGGAAGAAGGAAGUGGGGUGUGGUGGCAAUGUGUAGGCUGCCAGCAGUGUCUACCUCAGUCUGAAAUUUUUAUAUUUGACCUUGGCCAUUUUGGAACACAGUGCCAUCAGCAAAGACGAACCAUCCCAGAACCCCAGGUUGUUUGUUCUUUCAUUUAGUUGCCAGGAUUUGUA
rnacentral:lncRNA from 1 species